UUCAAGGCAGAACACGACAGAUAAUCCUUGCCUUGCACUGAGGGGGUGCAAUAUGCAGAAAGUGCAAGAGGAAGGAGUACAUUUAAUUCCAGGUGCUGUGUUUGACAACUCUUAGCCUCUGGAAGAUGCUCUUUUUAAGGCAACCUGUUCCUAACUUUAAUUAGGUAAGUAGCAUAUCCUGUUCUAGAUAGGUUAUUCAUAUCUAGUUCAUAUAUUUGAUUUGUGUCAGUAUGUCAAGCAGAGGCCAGACACCUUUAAUAGGAGACAGUAGAGAGAUAUAAAGUGAAUCAAAGCUUUAGACUCUUACAUCUGCUUCUAACAGGCUAUCCUG
rnacentral:lncRNA from 1 species